rnacentral:rRNA from 1 species
CUGCUGCCUUCCGUAGGAGUUUGGGCCGUGUCUCAGUCCCGAUGUGGCCGUCCACCCUCUCAGGCCGGCUACUGAUCGUCGCCUUGGUGGGCCGUUACCCGCCAACAAGCUAAUCAGACGCGGGUCCAUCUUACACCACCGGAGUUUUUCACACAAAUCCAUGCGGCUUCGUGCGCUUAUGCGGUAUUAGCACCUAUUUCUAAGUGUUAUCCCCCGAGUGUAAGGCAGGUUACCCACGCGUUACUCACCCGUCCGCCACUAAGA